rnacentral:rRNA from 1 species
UACGAAGGGGGCUAGCGUUGUUCGGAAUUACUGGGCGUAAAGCGUGCGCAGGCGGUUCGUUGUGUCGGUGGUGAAAUCCCCGGGCUUAACCUGGGAAUGGCCAUGGAAACUGGCGAACUGGAGUGUGGCAGAGGGGGGUGGAAUUCCGCGUGUAGCAGUGAAAUGCGUAGAGAUGCGGAGGAACACCGAUGGCGAAGGCAGCCCCCUGGGCUAGCACUGACGCUCAGGCACGAAAGCGUGGGGAGCAAACAGG